rnacentral:rRNA from 1 species
GACGUAGGGGGCCAGCGUUGUUCGGAAUUACUGGGUGUAAAGGGUUCGUAGGCGGUGUGGCAAGUCGGGAGUGAAAUCUCUGGGCUCAACCCAGAGUCUGCUUCCGAAACUGCUGUGCUUGAGUGUGGGAGAGGCGCGUGGAAUUGCAGGUGUAGCGGUGAAAUGCGUAGAUAUCUGCAGGAACACCCGUGGCGAAAGCGGCGCGCUGGACCACUACUGACGCUGAGGAACGAAAGCGUGGGGAGCGAACAGG